GAGCACAGGACAAGUUGUGCAGCAUACACAGCUGUAUCCUGCCUCCCCCAAAGUGGGGAAAUUCUGGUGCCUUAGGAGGAACCGACAGAGAUUUCUGCUGUUGCCCCCUAAAAGCUGCUGCCAGAGGCAGUUGCUUUGCUCUGCCUGGAGAGGAAAGGUACUGGGAAUGGGGACACCAUGGAAAGAUAGAUGGUGAAAUUGCUCUGGAAGCAAGAAGGAGAUACUGUAUUAAGGCCAACGCCAUCAAACAGGAGUUCUUCAAUACGGGACUUAGCAUCGUCAUUGAUUCCCGCUUAGCGCAGCCAAGUGAGAGCAAUAGCUGAUGUCAUGGCCUUGGCCAUAUGACAGGACACCAAAUGUUGUUGUUUAGCCAGCGUCAUCACUUCCAGGGAAAAUUAAUGAGAUUCACCCAGCAGUUUGAGCAGCACUUUGGACAUUACCAACCAGUUGUAAAUAUGGUAACAGAAGCAGUGAGUUGUUCAGAACUGCUACAUUCUGAAAUCAAUGGAUAGUGACCAGAUGACCUUGGAAACACUAGAGAACAUAUUA